GGCGCCAAGCUACUGAGAGCAGUGAUCCGGAUUUAGUGGCCCGUUUAGGUGCUGCCGUUUUUCAGCCGGUUGACGUCACGCCGGCGGUGUUGGGUAGAUCCAGCAGUAUACGUGGCCACUAUCUGCGAAAUGCGUUGUGAACACAGUUGGCAGUAAAGAGAGAACGUUACACCACGAAAGCAGAGACUGCUCAUGAGGGGACCGUGAGCAGAAUAGCAAUGCCUUGGCGG